GAUGAACGCUAGCUACAGGCUUAACACAUGCAAGUCGAGGGGCAGCGCAGUGUAGCAAUACAUGGGCGGCGACCGGCGCACGGGUGCGUAACGCGUAUCCAACCUUCCCGUUACUCAGGGAUAGCCUUCCGAAAGGGAGAUUAAUACCUGAUGGUGUUCAAAUUCCGCAUGUUAUUUGAACUAAAGAUUUAUCGGUAACGGAUGGGGAUGCGUGACAUUAGGUAGAUGGCGGGGUAACGGCCCACCUAGUCUACGAUGUCUAGGGGUUCUGAGAGGAAGGUCCCCCCACACUGGAACUGAGACACGGUCCAGACUCCUACGGGAGGCAGCAGUGAGGAAUAUUGGUCAAUGGGCGCAAGCCUGAACCAGCCAAGUAGCGUGAAGGAUGACUGCCCUAUGGGUUGUAAACUUCUUUUAUACGGGGAACAAACCUUGGUACNCGUACCAAAUUGCGUGUACCGUAUGAAUAAGCAUCGGCUAACUCCGUG
rnacentral:rRNA from 1 species